UGAUUUAUCUUACUGAAUGGUAUAUUUGGGAGUGGUUAAGAUGGGAAAGUUUAUGUUGUAUUUAUGUUCUCACAACUAUUAAAAAAAAAAGAAUGAGAAGUAGAAAGAAAUAUUGAGCAACUAAUGAAACAAUGACAAUUAAAGGCACUACAUGAUCCCGAACGCCUGGAUGGGAUCUAACAAGGAAGGAGAAGGUUCAGAAGGACACUAUUGAAGUGACAUCAUCUGAGGUGGUAUCACAGGUUGUACUGCUGAAGAAUGCACCUCAGGUAUCUAAGCUUGACCACCUGGCAGCAAGGUAACCACAGGAGGGGACCGAGGACAUUAUCCCGAGGCCCCGAUGCAUCUUUUUGUACCUACAAGAAGAGAUGAAGGCAUUCAGUCUCUGAGCACAACCUUGAGACAGCACGCUGGGAGACUGCUUUGUCUGCUUGCUGCCUGUGCCCUUCCUGCCUGGUGGAUUGAUUCAAGGUUUUCACAGUCUUGAGGAUGUCAAGAACCUAGGGCACGCCCCCGCUACGUGGGACAUGACACCCAGGGGUGUAAAUUCCCCUGGCAAUGCAGGAAAUGACUCCUGGGGAUGAGCCUGGACCCGGAACUGUGGAACUGAGGGGAUCUUCUUGACCAGAGGGGGAAGAGAGAUGAAACAAAAUAAGGUACCGGUGGCAGAGGGGCUUCAAGUGGAGUCUACAGGUCACUCUGGGGGUGUAUUCUUGUGCGCUAUAUAGAUAUCACCUUUCAGUUUUCAGUGUGUUGGAGUGGCUAGAGGGAAACACCUGAAACUGCUGACCUUGACUCUUGAAGACAAUUUAAUAUAGCUUUGUAGC